CCACAUCCCAGCGACCAGCGAGCGGCCUUGAGAGGCUGUGGCUCUUGCUUGUUAGGCGGCCUGAGGACGCCAUGGCCGAGUGCCCGAUACUCGGGGAGGCAGUCACCGACCACCCGGACCGCCUGUGGGCCUGGGAGAAGUUCGUGUAUUUGGACGAGAAGCAGCGUGCCUGGCUGCCCUUAACCAUCGAGAUAAAGGAUAGGUUACAGUUACGGGUGCUCUUGCGUCAGGAAGACGUUGUCCUGGGGAGUCCUAUGACCCCCACCCAGAUAGGCCCAAGCCUGCUGCCUGUCAUGUGGCAGCUCUACCCUGAUGGACGAUACCGAUCCUCAGACUCCAGUUUCUGGCGCUUAGUGUACCACAUCAAGAUUGACGGCGUGGAGGACAUGCUUCUCGAGCUGCUGCCAGAUGACUGAUGUAUGGUCUUACAGCACCUGUCUCCUUUCACCCCAGGGCCUGAGCCUGGCCAGCCUACAAUGGGGAUGUUGUGUUUCUGUUCACCUUCGUUUGCUACGCCUGUGUCUUCUCUACCACGCUGGGGUCUGGGAGGAAUGGACAGACAGAGGAUGAGCUCUACCCAGGGCCUGCUGGACCUGCCUGUAGCCCACUCUGCUAGCCUUAGCACUACCACUCCUGCCAAGGAGGACUCCAUUUGGCAGAGCUUCUUCCAGGUGCCCAGCUAUACCUGUGCCUCGGCUUUUCUCAGCUGGCUGAUGGUCUUCGGCCUCUUUCUGUCCCUUCUGUCCCUCACAGCACUAGUGUUUCAUGUUGCACACCCACUCAGCUUUGUGAACUUGUGAGAACACAGCCGAUUUACCUGAGCAGGACCUCUGAAACCCUGGACCAGUGGUCUCACGUGGUGCUACGCCUGCACGUAAACACGCCUGCAAACACUGCCUGCCCACACAGGUUUAGGUGCAGCUCAAGGAAAGGCCUGAAAGGAGCCCUUAUCUGUGCUCAGGACUCAGAAGCCUCUGGGUCAGUGGUCCACAGCCCGGGACGCAGCAGGAGGCCAGGCCGGCGAGCCCUGUGGAUGAGCCCUCAGAACCCUUGGCCUGCCCACAUGGAAAAGGGAUAGAGGUUGGGUUCCCCCCUUUUAUAGAUGGUCACGCACCUGGGUGUUACGAAGUUGUAUGUGGCAUGAAUACUUUUUGUAAUGAUUGAUUAAAUGCAAGAUAGUUUAUCUAACU
rnacentral:lncRNA from 1 species